UGGGGAAUCUUGCGCANCGGGCGAAAGCCUGACGCAGCCAUGCCGCGUGAAUGAUGAAGGUCUUAGGAUUGUAAAAUUCUUUCACCGGGGACGAUAAUGACGGUACCCGGAGAAGAAGCCCCGGCUAACUACGGG
rnacentral:rRNA from 1 species